rnacentral:rRNA from 1 species
UACGUAGGUGGCAAGCGUUGUCCGGAUUUACUGGGCGUAAAGAGCACGCAGGCGGUCGGCCAAGUCGAGUGUGAAAGCCCCCGGCUCAACUGGGGAGGGUCACUCGAUACUGGUCGACUCGAAGGCGGGAGAGGGAAGCGGAAUUCCCGGUGUAGUGGUGAAAUGCGUAGAUAUCGGGAGGAACACCAGUGGCGAAGGCGGCUUCCUGGCCCGUUCUUGACGCUCAUGUGCGAAAGCUAGGGGAGCAAACGGG